GAGUUUGAUCAUGGCUCAGGAUGAACGCUAGCGGCAGGCUUAACACAUGCAAGUCGAGGGGCAGCGGGAUGUAGCAAUACAUUGCCGGCGACCGGCGGAUGGGUGCGUAACGCGUAUGCAACCUACCUUAUACAGGGGAAUAACCUUUCGAAAGGGAGACUAACACCCCAUGGUAUUGAUUUUAAGGCAUCUUUAGAUUAAUUAAAUAUUUAUAGGUAUAAGAUGGGCAUGCGUAUGAUUAGCUAGUUGGUAAGGUAACGGCUUACCAAGGCGACGAUCAUUAGGGGUUCUGAGAGGAAGGUCCCCCACACUGGUACUGAGACACGGACCAGACUCCUACGGGAGGCAGCAGUGAGGAAUAUUGGUCAAUGGGCGCAAGCCUGAACCAGCCAUGCCGCGUGCCAGGAAGACGGCCUUAUGGGUUGUAAACUGCUUUACAUAAGACUAACCGUAUAUUUGCGAAUAUACCUGAAUGUAUUAUGAGAAUAAGGAUCGGCUAACUCCGUGCCAGCCGCGGC
rnacentral:rRNA from 1 species